AGCAGCCGCGGUAAUUCCAGCUCCAAUAGCGUAUACUAAAGUUGUUGCAGUUAAAAAGCUCGUAGUUGAAUUUCGGGAUUGGCGCAUCGGUCGUGCCUCACGGGGUAUGAACUGGUGCAGUCAAUUUCUCACCUUCUGGAGAACCGCGAUGUCCUUAAUUGGAUGCCGCGGGGAACCAGGACCUUUACUUUGAAAAAUUAGAGUGUUUAAAGCAGGCAUUUUUGCUUGAAUACAUUAGCAUGGAAUAAUAAAAUAGGACGGCAUGGUUCUAUUUUGUUGGUUUCUAGGACCACCGUAAUGAUUAAUAGGGAUAGUUGGGGGCAUUAGUAUUCAAUUGUCAGAGGUGAAAUUCUUGGAUUUAUUGAAGACUAACUACUGCGAAAGCAUUUGCCAAGGAUGUUUUCAUUAAUCAAGAACGAAAGUUAGGGGAUCGAAGACGAUCAGAUACCGUCGUAGUCUUAACCAUAAACUAUGCCGACUAGGAAUCAGACGAUGUUAAUUUUUAAUGACUCGUUUGGCU
rnacentral:sRNA from 1 species